CCUACGGGUGGCUGCAGUGGGGAAUAUUGGACAAUGGGGGCAACCCUGAUCCAGCCAUGCCGCGUGUGUGAAGAAGGCCCUCGUGUUGUAAAGCACUUUCAGUGAGGAAGAACGCCUGGUGGUUAAUACCCAUCAGGAAAGACAUCACUCACAGAAGAAGCACCGGCUAACUCCGUGCCAGCAGCCGCGGUAAUACGGAGGGUGCGAGCGUUAAUCGGAAUUACUGGGCGUAAAGCGCGCGUAGGUGGCUUGAUAAGCCGGUUGUGAAAGCCCCGGGCUCAACCUGGGAACGGCAUCCGGAACUGUCAAGCUAGAGUGCAGGAGAGGAAGGUAGAAUUCCCGGUGUAGCGGUGAAAUGCGUAGAGAUCGGGAGGAAUACCAGUGGCGAAGGCGGCCUUCUGGACUGACACUGACACUGAGGUGCGAAAGCGUGGGUAGCAAACAGGAUUAGAUACCCUAGUAGUC
rnacentral:rRNA from 1 species